GAUGAACGCUGGCGGCGUGCCUAAUACAUGCAAGUCGAGCGAACAGACGAGGAGCUUGCUCCUCUGAUGUUAGCGGCGGACGGGUGAGUAACACGUGGAUAACCUACCUAUAAGACUGGGAUAACUUCGGGAAACCGGAGCUAAUACCGGAUAACAUGUUGAACCGCAUGGUUCAACAGUGAAAGACGGUUUUGCUGUCACUUAUAGAUGGAUCCGCGCCGCAUUAGCUAGUUGGUAAGGUAACGGCUUACCAAGGCAACGAUGCGUAGCCGACCUGAGCGGGUGAUUGGCCACACUGGAACUGAGACACGGCCCAGACUCCGACGGGAGGCAGCAGUAGGGAAUCUUCCGCAAUGGGCGAAAGCCUGACGGAGCAACGCCGCGUGAGUGAAGAAGGUCUUCGGAUCGUAAAACUCUGUUAUUAGGGAAGAACAAAUGUGUAAGUAACUAUGCACGUCUUGACGGUACCUAAUCAGAAAGCCACGGCUAACUACGUG
rnacentral:rRNA from 1 species